rnacentral:miRNA from 1 species
CAAAUGCACGCAAAUGAAGAUGA